rnacentral:rRNA from 1 species
UACGGAGGGUGCAAGCGUUAAUCGGAAUUACUGGGCGUAAAGCGUGCGCAGGCGGUUUGUUAAGUCCGUUGUGAAAGCCCCGAGCUCAACUUGGGAAUUGCAGUGGAUACUGGCAGGCUGGAGUACGGUAGAGGAAGGUGGAAUUCCCGGUGUAGCAGUGAAAUGCGUAGAUAUCGUCUGGAACGCCGAAGGUGAAAACAGCUCGCUGGGAUUGUGCUGACGCUGAGACACGAAAGCCAGGGGAGCGAACGGG